AGCGAACGCUGGCGGCAGGCCUAACACAUGCCAGUCGAACGAACUCUUCGGAGUUAGUGGCGGACGGGUGCGUAACACGUGGUAACGUGCCUUUUGGUUCUGAAUAACUCAGGGAAACUUGUGCUAAUACCGAAUGUGCCCUUCGGGGGAAAGAUUUAUCGCCAUUAGAGCGGCCCGCGUCUGAUUAGCUAGUUGGUGAGGUAACGGCUCACCAAGGCGACGAUCAGUAGCUGGUCUGAGAGGAUGACCAGCCACACUGGGACUGAGACACGGCCCAGACUCCUACGGGAGGCAGCAGUGGGGAAUCUUGCGCAAUGGGCGAAAGCCUGACGCAGCCAUGCCGCGUGAAUGAUGAAGGUCUUAGGAUUGUAAAAUUCUUUCACCGGGGACGAUAAUGACGGUACCCGGAGAAGAAGCCCCGGCUAACUUCGUG
rnacentral:rRNA from 1 species